GACGAACGCUGGCGGCGUGCCUAAUACAUGCAAGUAGAACGCUGAAGAGAGGAGCUUGCUCUUCUUGGAUGAGUUGCGAACGGGUGAGUAACGCGUAGGUAACCUGCCUGGUAGCGGGGGAUAACUAUUGGAAACGAUAGCUAACACCGCAUGAUAUUAAUUGUCGCAUGAUAAUUAAUUGAAAGAUGCAAUUGCAUCACUACCAGAUGGACCUGCGUUGUAUUAGCUAGUUGGUGAGGUAACGGCUCACCAAGGCGACGAUACAUAGCCGACCUGAGAGGGUGAUCGGCCACACUGGGACUGAGACACGGCCCAGACUCCUACGGGAGGCAGCAGUAGGGAAUCUUCGGCAAUGGGGGGAACCCUGACCGAGCAACGCCGCGUGAGUGAAGAAGGUUUUCGGAUCGUAGAGCUCUGUUGUAAGAGAAGAACGGGUGUGAGAGUGGAAAGUUCACACUGUGACG
rnacentral:rRNA from 1 species